ACCUUAGGAUCUGGUCCAGAGCCUAUUGAAGACAAUGGGAGUCUUUCCUUUGUCUUCAGUGGGCUUUGGAUCAGGCCCUUCCUGU
rnacentral:pre_miRNA from 1 species